UGCCCAAUCAACACUGGGGCAUCCCCCAUGGUCGACCAAGUGACGUCAGCGGAUACACUCCUAAUAUGGAUUUCCUCACCCCUCCCAUUUUUAUCUGCCGGGGACGGGCGACAUUUUAAGGAUCUAAUGUGCUUAAAAAUUGACGUUUACGGGAGUUGAAGAGAAGUAUUGGUAAUGAGCGCAGCUUCGCCAAGCAACCCUUCAGAAUGGCAGCUCUACAGGGUUCUACAGCGUGCUAACCUGGUGCAGUACUAUGACACAUUUGUAGCCCAGGGUGGAGAUGAUGUACACCAGCUGUGUGAGGCCGGGGAAGAGGAAUUCCUUGAGAUUAUGGCCCUGGUGGGAAUGGCAAGCAAGCCCCUCCACGUGCGCAGGCUACAGAAGGCCCUGCAGGAAUGGGUCGCCAACCCAGCAUCAUUUGACGGCACUGGUCAGCUGCGGCCAACCCCCACCCAGGUGUCUUCACUGACCACGGACGUUUCCCCGGCAGCCACGUCUCCGUGGAGCACCCCACAGAAGAGUGUCAGUCCAGUGAUGAUGCCCUUGACUCAGUCCCUGGAAUCUGACAUGUUCACGACAUCUGACAUCAAGAUAAAGCAGGAGGCAGGGGCUGUUUCCCCAGGUCUGACGGAGGCACAGGUCGCUGCACUUGCUAACAGCGCCACCAGACUCGCCAAAAUAUUGCCGCACUUUGAGCCGAAGCAUCUCAGUCAGAAAAAAGAGAUCAAUAAACACAUUCAGGAGAUAAUGAUGACUCCACCUGAGGUCUCUGAAGACAGACUGCAUAUCAUGCGUACAUAUGCAGCCAUUUACAGGAGAUUUGACACAGAGAGGGUCUACACCAAGCCCAUGUCCAUGCAUGAGAUCUGCGUGAAUGAGGCUGCAGCCCAGCUCUGCCUGCACAUUCCCAACCUGCUGUCACGCAGAGAGGACCUCUUCCCAUUGGCCAGACAGGUUGUCAAGGAGAGUGGCUACCAGUACUCCAAGGGACACUCCAGAUCCAGUGAUUUCAACCCUGAGAAUCCCAGUAAGAAGCAGAAGCUGGACCAGUGGGUCUCAGAUUCCCGCAGUGACAGUCCACAGACAACAGCAUCCGGUGCUCGAGAACUCUUUCAGGAGAGAUUGACUCAAAUCAGCAAAUUGCUUGCGAAAAUCUCACAAAGACAGGAGCAGAUUGUGAAUGACCUUGACCUUGCUAAGGAAGGUCAGGACCUUGAAAAGGUUGACACAUUACAGUCAGAGUUGGAAUUGGUCACCAACCAGCACCUGCAGUUACUGACUGAACAGAGUGAACUGCUUCGAAAGCAAAGUUUAGAGGUUUACAAUGAGUUGGAAAUGUCAGAUAGGGAAGAUUCCAACAUGGGAGCCAGUGGAUCAUCCUCCCCGACCCAGUUCGACAACGGCCUCAGCACAUCCAGCCACGCAUUGCUGAAAAACAUUCUCAGUUCGGCACAGAUACCAAAAUCAUCGCUCACAAGUCUUUCCUUACUGGCUGGAUGCAGCUUGACUCCGUCGGGCUUAAAGAACUCUUUGUUCGACGAGGGCUUGAGAAUUGCCCAGCAAUAUGGACUUGGGGAUUUUGCUCAGGAACUGAAAUCCCUUCAAGGGGGUUCGGAUGUUGAGGACCAGAAAUCGCCCAUGCCUGGGGACAACAGUCCGGGCCAGAAUGGCUCAAAUGGUACUUAUGAGGAGGGGGAUGAAAGUUCAAGGGAUCACCAUGGUAAUGGUGAGGAUGAGGACGCAGAGAACGCUGAUAAUGGAUCUCUUUAGGGCUGUCAUGCUUAGUACUAGUUAUAUGCAUGUUUAACAUGACUAAUUUUAAUUUCUGUGUGAGGAAUUUGUUUUCAGUCAAAAUAACAUUCCUUUUACUUAUUUGUUAUUUUAUCACUUUUGCAUUCAGUUUGCAAUGUAACACAGUCCGAGAAUUGUUGCAUAUCUGGUUUAUUAUGCCCCCCUUCGAAGAAGAGGGGGUAUAUUGCUUUGCUCAUGUCGGUCGGUCGGUCGGUAGGUCGGUCGGUCAGUCGGUCUGUCCACCAGGUGGUUGUCAGACGAUAACUCAAGAACGCUUGGGCCUAGGAUCAUAAAACUUCAUAGGUACAUUGAUCAUGACUUGCAGAUGACCCCUAUUGAUUUUGAGGUCACUAGGUCAAAGGUCAAGGUCACGGUGACCCGAAAUAGUAAAAUGGUUUCCGGAUGAUAACUCAAGAACGCUUAGGCCUAGGAUCAUGAAACUUGAUAGGUAGAUUGAUCAUGACUCGCAGAUGACCCCUAUUGAUUAUCAGGUCACUAGGUCAAAGGUCAAGGUCACAGUGACCCGAAAUAGUAAAAUGGUUUCCGGAUGAUAACUCAAGAACAAUUAUGCCUAGGAUGAUGAAACUUGGUAGGUAGAUUGAUAAUGGCUGGCAGAUGACCCCUAUUGAUUUUCAGGUCACUAGGUCAAAGGUCAAGGUCACGGUGACCCGAAAUAGUAAAAUGGUUUCCGGAUAAUAACUCAAGAACGCUUAUGUCUAGGAUCAUGAAACUUCAUAGGUAGAUUGAUCAUGAAUGGCAGAUGACCCCUAUCGAUUUUGAGGUCACUAGGUCGAAGGUCAAGGUCACGGUGACCCGAAAUAGUAAAAUGGUUUCCGGAUGAUAACUCAAGAACGCUUAUGCCUAGGAUCAUGAAACUUGAUUGGUAGAUUGAUCAUGACUCGCAGAUGACCCCUAUUGAUAUUCAGGUCACUAUAUCAAAGGUCAAGGUCAUGGUGACCUGAAAUAGUAAAAUGGUUUCUGGACGAUAACUCUAGAACGCUUAUGGCUACGAUCAUGAAACUUCAUAGGUACACUGAUCAUGACUUGCAGAUGACCCCUAUUGAUUUUGAGGUCACUAGGUCAAAGGUCAAGGUCAUGUUGAUCCAAAAUAGUAAAAUGGUUUCUGGAUGAUAACUCAAGAACGCUUAGGCCUAGGAUCAUGAAACUUGAUAGGUAGAUUGAUCAUGACUCGCAGAUGACCCCUAUUGAUUAUCAGGUCACUAGGUCAAAGGUCAAGGUCACAGUGACCCGAAAUAGUAAAAUGGUUUCCGGAUGAUAACUCAAGAACGAUUAUGCCUAGGAUAAUGAAACUUGGUAGGUAGAUUGAUAAUGGCUGGCAGAUGACCCCUAUUGAUUUUCAGGUCACUACGUCAAAGUUCAAGGUCACAGUGACAAAAAACAUAUUCACACAAUGGCUGUCACUACAACGAAGAGCCCAUAUGGGGGGCAUGCCUGUUUUAUUUCAAUUAAAAAUGUUUUGUUAAUUGUAAACUUCUUUCAUGUUUUUUUUUCGUACAGAAGACAACCAUAAUUUAAAUAUGUCAAUUUUUAGCUCGGCUGAUUUCGGAGAAAACACGUGGUAUUGUCAUAACCAGUUCGUCCGUCCGGCGGAGGCCGUCCACCGUGCUUAAACCUUAACCUUGGCUCUAAAAUCAAAGUGCUUCCACCUACAACUUUGAAACUUCAUAUGUAGAUGUACCUUGAUGAGUUCUACACGCCGUACCCAUUUUUGGGUCACUAGGUCAAAGGUCAAGGUCACUGUGACCUCUAAAAAAAAUAAUCUGACAUGCUUUCAUUUAUUCAAAACUUCACCCGCAGCCAAGUGUUGGCACCCGUUAUGCGUUGCUCUUGUUGUUUCUAAUCAUUCUACAAAACUACUCAUCCAUUUUAAAAACAGACACAACUUUGCUACAAAGUUGUCUUAAAAUGAGGUGUACAAUUAAUUAUUGUUUUCAUGAAGAGGAGCAACUGCCUUAAGUUGUUAUUUAUCGUAUUCUUUACACCAACGGACAGUGUUGUGUUAACUGUGUAGUUUAUGGGAGAUAUUAAUACUUCUACUAGCAAAACAUGUGCAAAUUAAUUUCAAGUAGUGCUCAUUACAUAACAAAUGUUUACUUAGCAUGCAGUUAUUUUUCAUUGGAAAUUUAUCUUUUCAGAUUCAACAACAAGUAGGUCAAUAUUUAUUCCCCAAAUUAUCAGCAGUCAUUAACCUUUGAAACAGAUGUCUGCUUGAGAUUUUGUUUAUUGGUUGUACAAUUUACGGCAUCCGAUUGUGUACACACCAAGGAGAUAUUGAUUUCAGUUGAGUUGCUUCACUUAUAUCUUUUCAAUUUAAAACAGCUUUGCACAGUAACCUUGUACAUGAAUCCAGGUCAGUGUUGUUUUUUUUGUUUAAUUUGGGUUCUACAGGGGGAACCAUUCCCAACGCAAAAUAAACACAAUAUAUUUUAAAUAAGUGUAAACAUGUCAUUUAGCUCAAAAUCCAGUUCUAUAUGUUGAACCUUGGAAAAUGUAAUAUUUAAAUCACUUUAAUUAUCAAUUUUAAAGUAUUUGUUUAUAAUAAAAUCAACAACAAUAAUCUCCCAAUUAUUGUCAAAAGGACGCGAUAUUUCCCAAUCUAAAAGGACCCAGCCCAUUUCCCAAAAUGGUGAAAAAAGUCACCUGGUAAUUUUCUUUGCCGUUUGUGGGGGUUUGUUUUAACCCUUUGCAUGCUGGGAAAUUUGUCCCGUGCUAAAAUGUUGUCUGCUGAAUUUCUUAAAUUAGCAUUUUCUUCGAUUUUUUUCAAAGAAUACUAUCAGAAUAGCAAACAGUUUGGAUCCUGAUGAGAAGCCACGUUCUGUGACGUCUCAUCUGGAUCCAAACUGUUUGCCAAGGCCUUCAAAAUUCAGUCUCAGCACUGAAAGAGUUAAUGGAAUUCUGUACAUUGCACACAUUUUGGUUCAACAAUGCUUCUUCUCUAUUCCAGUCACCAUAAAACAUUAAAAAAUUUUUUUUUGCAUUUUUAUACAUUCAAAAUUCAUGGGACAACGCUGAACAAUCCUGUCUGGCACAAUUAUUAUGAUUGACUUUGGUAGUUAUGAAAUGGCCGUGAGGGCCACCUUUGCGACACCAGUUCAAUCCCCACUUGGGCAUUGUUCUCUGGAUCUUUCCAAAGACAUAAAGUAAUGGUUCUACCCAGAGAUCUGACUUAAGAGUGUUUCUAUAAGCCAAUGGCUAUUGAGACAACCAAGAUUGAAAUAAACAGGCUUGAACUGAACUGGUUAUUCUAAAACGUAGAACAGGGCUGCCUCUCAGUUGGCCAAAGGUAGAAUUUGAAGAAAAUAAGGUGCGUUCUGGAAAAAAUGACUUCAUAUAAUUAUGUGUGUUAAGUGUUGUCCUAGAUUAGCCUGUGCAGAACACCCAGGGUAAUACCUCACAGAUUAGCCUGUGCAGAUCUCCCAUUGUAGUUACUCACAGAUAAGCCUGUGCAGAACUCCCAGGCUAGUACCUCACAUAUAAUCAUGUGCAGAACUCCCAGGGUAGUAUUUCACAUAUUAGCUAGCCUGUGCAGAACUUCCAGGGUAGUACCUCACAGAUUAGCCUGUGCAGAACUCCCAGGCUAGUACCUUACAUAUAAUCAUGUGCAGAACUCCCAGGGUAGUAACUCACAGAUUAACUAGCCUGUGCAGAACUUCCAGAGUAGUACCUCACAGAUUAGCCUGUUCAGAACUCCCAGGGUAGUACCACACAGAUAAGCCUGUGCAGAUCUCCCAUUGAAGUAACUCACAGAUUAGCUUGUGCAGAACUUCCAGGGUAGUUACAUAUAAGUCUGUGCAGAACUCCCAGUUUAUUACCUCACAGAUUAGCCUGUGCAGAACUACCAGGGUAUUACAUAACAUUAGCCUGUGCAGAACUCCUGGGGUAGUACCACACAGAUAAGCAUGUGCAGAACUCACAGGGUAGUACCUCACAUGUUAGCCUGUGCAGAACUCCCAAGGAAGUACCUCACAUAUUAGCCUGUGCAGAACUCACAGGCUAUUACUUCACAGAUAAGCCUGUGCAGAACUCCCAGGGAAGUACCUCACAUAUUUUAGCCUGUGCAGAACUCCCAGGCUAUUACCUCACAGAUAAGCCUGUGCAGAACUCCCAGGGUAGUACAUCACAUAUUAGCCUGUGCAGAUCUCCCAUUGUAGUUACUCACAGAUAAGCCUGUGCAGAACUCCCAGGCUAUUACCUCACAUAUAGCAUGUGCAGAACUCCCAGGGUAGUAUUUCACAUAUAAGCAUGUGCAGAACUCUCAGGGUAGUACCUCACAGAUUAGCAUGUGCAGAACUCACAGGG